AGCUCGGAUCCCUGGGGAUGUAGCAAGGGGAAGAUCUAGUCUUCUCAAAGCCCUUGCCCUCAGUCAAGAAUGUGCCCACCGCCACCCACAGCCACCCCACCAUCCCCACUCAGCCAUGGGGGCCCCGCACAUCCACUGGGUUCUCACAGGUGCUCUGCUGCUGCUCCCCGUGAAACUGGCUGGGAAGGAAGACCUCACAGACAGGCUGCUUCAGGGCCGCUCUCUGAACUUCAGACAAUAACCUCCUUUAGUAACAUACAUUAAAUGGUCUGCUGGUCAUGCCGCUAUGCCACUGGGGCCAUGGGAGGAGCCUCUGCCGACCAGACAGCUCGGAUGGAUUUACUUAAGGCCCCCAGAACACGAAGUGACAGCCACUGAGGAAGGAUGACCCUGAUGCUGUCCUCUUCCUCACCAGCUACAUCCUCCGUGAACCCCCUCUGCCUCCUGCCAUGGCUUCCGGACCUCAGCACAGGACAAUGGGCUGGGUAAUCUGGCUGUGGCCACACUGCCUGCUGACUCAGAGGUGGUCAGUUUCAUGGGUCUCAAACAGGGACCCUUGGGUGGGUACCUACCCGCCUGGCGCAUUCCAUAGAUAACUUCCUCUUCCCAAACCCAAA